rnacentral:rRNA from 1 species
GACGUAGGGGGCGAGCGUUGUCCGGAUUUAUUGGGCGUAAAGCGUGCGUAGGCGGCUGCGCAAGUCGGGUGUGAAACCCCGGGGCUCAACCCCGGAACUGCAUCCGAUACUGCGUGGCUAGAGGUAGGUAGGGGAGAUCGGAAUUCCUGGUGUAGCGGUGAAAUGCGUAGAUAUCAUGAGGAAUACCAGAGGCGAAGGCGGCUACCUGGACAAUUGCUGACGCUCAGGCACGAAAGCGUGGGGAGCAAAAGGG